rnacentral:rRNA from 1 species
ACUCAAAGGAAUUGACGGGGGCCCGCACAAGCAGUGGAGUAUGUGGUUUAAUUCGAAGCAACGCGAAGAACCUUACCAGGACUUGACAUAGCAGUGAAUAAGGCAGAGAUGUCUUAGCUCUUCGGAGCGCUGUUACAGGUGGUGCAUGGUUGUCGUCAGCUCGUGUCGUGAGAUGUUGGGUUAAGUCCCGCAACGAGCGCAACCCCUGUUGUUAGUUGCCAUCAUUAAGUUGGGCACUCUAGCGAGACUGCCGGUGACAAAUCGGAGGAAGGUGGGGACGACGUCAAAUCAUCAUGCCCCUUAUGUCCUGGGCUACACACGUACUACAAUGGCUAUUACAGCAGGAUGCAAUAGAGUAAUCUGGAGCCAAUCCUCAAAAAUAGUCCCAGUUCAGAUUGUGGGCUGAAACUCGCCCACAUGAAGUCGGAAUUGCUAGUAAUUGCAGGUCAGCAUACUGCAGUGAAUACGUUCCCGGGCCUUGUACACACCGCCCGU